AACACUUACUUAAAAUUUAAGAUUUUUUGCCUUUCAGACUUUCUCCUCUUUCUCGAAAACCCUAAAAACAUAAAAUCUAUCAGACCUAACAUAUCAUUUAGCCAAAUAUUACACUUUUUAACUCCCACACUUAAGAAAAAAAACACAAAACUCUAACCUAAUUUCUAUCUUCAUCUCUCCACACCCGACAUUCAUCUUGUUCCAGCCCAGACAAGAGAGAGCGAGAGAGAGAGAGAGAUUACUUAGAAGAUGUUGUCAUAUUCAAAUCUGGAGCCAUCUAAAAUAUCAAAAAUCCAUAUUCGAGUGGGCUACACCAAGAAAGCGAGGAACCCAGAUUCGGCUUGGUCUAGUCAUGGUGAAGAUGAGACGAUUAAGAACGGAAAAGAAGAUUGGGUGAAAAAGUUUCAGAGAUUAGAAAGAUGUGGGUUUUUAUGAUUUGAUCUGGGUUGGUAAGAUAUUGUGGAUCUAAGAGGAGUUUCGAUUUUCUCAUAACAAAUGCAGUUGCAGCGGUAGUGACGUGAAGAAGAUCUGAGAUAAUUUCUACCCCUCAUUCCGGUGUUGACGUUAGACGGGUAAGCAAAUCGUCGGGUCUAAUUUCACUCUCCCGGAAACUAUAAUUCAAAUUUUUGGUUUCUAGUUAAGUUGUGCUCGACAUUUUGUAUUAGAUGCAGCUGAAGCAUGAGCUGAAAUAAAAAGGUGUUGAAGAGUCAUUACUUUAACGGUUAAAGUGAGUAACUGACUAUGAAUUAUGUUAGAAUCCCACCUCUGUUUUAACCUCUUUAAUGUGUUUGUGUAUACUUGUGAAAUUUAAUCAGAAUGCUGGAUUCGUUUGCUAAUGUAAAUUGUAGUUGGUGUUUGAGCAAAUUUUAACCUUGAAGUCGGAAGCUUUUCGAAAGCUUUUCCACUCUCAAGGUCCUCGCUUCUUUUAUUCAUUCUUUCACAGUGUGAUUGAUGUUAUAUUAAUAAUAUUAUUCUCAUGUAGCAAUUGAAUUUAAGUGAUGAAGAGUUGCUACUGAAGCUCAUGAGCUUAUUUAUAUUUUAAUAGAUUUGUAUGAGUUGCUUAAACUUUUUCCGUUGUCUUGUUGUUCUAAUUCUCAUUUUUUUUUGGUUAAAGAAAGGGGAUAAGAGAGCCAGAAAUGCUAGGACACAAGGUUAGAUUUUGUUGUUGUUAUAUUGUGUUGCUAAACAAGACCUUGAAACUCUUGGCUAGAGAGUCUGCUUCCUAUCAAUUUGUAUUGCUGCACUUGGUUUGACAUUACUUAAAUGUGCAGCUUCUAAAAUACUUUCAGGUUAGUGUCUUUUCUAUGUCCAUUGCUAGUUUUAUCUGUGAGUCUUUCUCACUUUGCCUCUAUGAUCUAGUCCUUAAUUUUGCAGUUGUACGAUCAUCCCACUUAUUAUAAAAGGUUUUCUAUGGCCCUUUGAUUUCCUUGUAUCGAUAGAAGAAUGAGGAUGCCAAAUGCUUUUGAAGUUAACAUGUCGUAUUAUCCUUAAAACUUGUAAGGUAAAGAGUAGAGAUCCUAGCCUUGUCCAAGAACAUGAUGAUCUACAGCUCCAUGUACCUUCUAUAUCUCUUCACAUUGGAUGAGUUACAUGUACAUGUUCUUAGAAGCUUGUCUCUAUUGUUUUUUUGUGAUUUUAAUUUUAUUUUAAUUAAGAUUGGUGGCAUUUGAUUUUAUGUAAGACUUCUUUUGGUUAAUGUAAUAUUAAUUUUAUGGAUGUU